GGCACCUUACUGUGGUGGAUAUCACACGUCGAGCCUAUGACUCGACGUAAGCUCGGUUCGACUCCGAGAGGGGCCU